rnacentral:tRNA from 1 species
GUUUUAAUAGUUUAAAAUAAAACACUGGUCUUGUAAACCAGUAAUGAGAAUAUUCUCUUAAAACU